GGCAGCAUGGCCGAGUGGUAAGGCGCAGGACUGCAAGUUCUUGUUCCCCAGUUCAAAUUUGAGUGUCACCU
rfam:Beta vulgaris subsp. vulgaris Bvchr9.sca009.con0029.1, whole genome shotgun sequence.